UACGUAGGUGGCGAGCGUUAUCCGGAAUUAUUGGGCGUAAAGAGCAUGUAGGCGGUUUAUUAAGUUUGAUGUGAAAGCUAGUGGCCUAACCACUAAACUGCAUUGAAUACUGGUAAACUAGAAUACUGGAGAGGUAAGUGGAAUUCCAUGUGUAGCGGUGGAAUGCGUAGAUAUAUGGAGGAACACCAAUGGCGAAGGCAGCUUACUGGACAGUGAUUGACGCUGAGAUGCGAAAGCGUGGGUAGCAAACAGG
rnacentral:rRNA from 1 species